CACUGGAUUGUGUGCUGAGCUGCGUUAGGGUUCUUUCUUACCUUUUCCUCCUUAGACUCCAGUCCUGACGAGCCUCCAGCUGGUUCCAAUUGGACGCAAUCAGGGAGCAGUAUUUAGAGGAGUGGAUUCCCUGGGACGGACGCCAGUCGGUUAAAGUUCCACACAGUGAAGCCUCGCUGUUUCCAAGCCGGUCCUCCUCUCAGUCCUCCUGGAUCCUCCCCUCGACUGCUCGCCUGCCUGUCCACCCUCUGGAGCUCUCAAGUCUAAGCCCUCCAUCUCUGUCUAAGACUCAAUCUCAGUGGGCUCUUCCAACCUCCCCUCCAGCUGCACCGCUCUCCAAGAACUUUCCUGAAGAAGCCGCUGUUAUCCGAACCAUCACGCCAGG